GUCCUAAUACAUGCAAGUCGAGCGAAUGAUGAAGAAGCUUGCUUCUUCUGAUUUAGCGGCGGACGGGUGAGUAACACGUGGGCAACCUACCUAGUAGAUUGGGAUAACUCCGGGAAACCGGGGCUAAUACCGAAUAAUCCAUUUUGUCACAUGGCAAAAUGCUGAAAGGCGGUUUCGGCUGUCACUACUAGAUGGGCCCGCGGUGCAUUAGCUAGUUGGUGGGGUAACGGCCUACCAAGGCAACGAUGCAUAGCCGACCUGAGAGGGUGAUCGGCCACAUUGGGACUGAGACACGGCCCAAACUCCUACGGGAGGCAGCAGUAGGGAAUCUUCCACAAUGGACGAAAGUCUGAUGGAGCAACGCCGCGUGAGUGAUGAAGGUUUUCGGAUCGUAAAACUCUGUUGUAAGGGAAGAACAAGUACGUUAGUAACUGAACGUACCUUGACGGUACCUUAUUAGAAAGCCACGGCUAACUACGUGCCAGCAGCCGCGGUAAUACGUAGGUGGCAAGCGUUGUCCGGAUUUAUUGGGCGUAAAGCGCGCGCAGGUGGUUUCUUAAGUCUGAUGUGAAAGCCCACGGCUCAACCGUGGAGGGUCAUUGGAAACUGGGAGACUUGAGUGCAGAAGAGGAAAGUGGAAUUCCAAGUGUAGCGGUGAAAUGCGUAGAGAUUUGGAGGAACACCAGUGGCGAAGGCGACUUUCUGGUCUGUAACUGACACUGAGGCGCGAAAGCGUGGGGAGCAAACAGGAUUAGAUACCCUGGUAGUCCACGCCGUAAACGAUGAGUGCUAAGUGUUAGGGGGUUUCCGCCCCUUAGUGCUGCAGCUAACGCAUUAAGCACUCCGCCUGG
rnacentral:rRNA from 1 species